rnacentral:rRNA from 1 species
AGAAUUGAUCUUGGUCAGGAUGAACGCUGGCGGCGUGCCUAACACAUGCAAGUCGAGCGGAAAUACCAAAUGUACUCGUACAGGCGGUAUUUAGCGGCGGACGGGUGAGUAACACGUGAGCAACCUGCCUUUUGCUGGGGAACAACAUUGGGAAACCAGUGCUAAUACCGCAUGACGUCAUAGGGGGACAUCCCCUGGUGACCAAAGGAGAAAUCCGGCAGAAGAUGGGCUCGCGUCCGAUUAGUUAGUUGGCGGGUAACGGCCCACCAAGACCGCGAUCGGUAGCCGAACUGAGAGGUUGAUCGGCCACAUUGGGACUGAGACACGGCCCAGACUCCUACGGGAGGCAGCAGUGGGGAAUAUUGGGCAAUGGGGGGAAACCCUGACCCAGCAACGCCGCGUGAAGGACGAAGGCCUUCGGGUUGUAAACUUCUUUGAUCAGGGACGAAAGCAAUGACGGUACCUGAAGAACAAGCCACGGCUAACUACGUGCCAGCCGCCGC